rnacentral:rRNA from 1 species
UACGGGGGGGGCAAGCGUUGUUCGGAAUUACUGGGCGUAAAGGGCUCGUAGGCGGCCAACUAAGUCCGACGUGAAAUCCCCAGGCUUAACCUGGGAACUGCGUCGGAUACUGGAUGGCUUGAAUUCGGGAGAGGGAUGCAGAAUUCCAGGUGUAGCGGUGAAAUGCGUAGAUAUCCGGAGGAACACCGGUGGCGAAGGCGGCUUCCUGGACCGACACUGACGCUGAGGAGCGAAAGCGUGGGGAGCAAACAGG